rnacentral:rRNA from 1 species
GACAGAGGGUGCAACCGUUGUUCGGAAUUACUGGGCGUAAAGCGCGUGUAGGCGGCCAUCUAAGUCGGGCGUGAAAUCCCACGGCUCAACCGUGGAAGUGCACUCGAAACUGGAUGGCUAGAGUCCUGGAGAGGAAGGUGGAAUGCUUGGUGUAGAGGUGAAAUUCGUAGAUAUCAAGCGGAACACCGGUGGCGAAGGCGGCCUUCUGGACAGUGACUGACGCUGAGACGCGAAAGCGUGGGGAGCGAACAGG